CCUACGGGAGGCAGCAGUGGGGAAUAUUGCGCAAUGGGCGAAAGCCUGACGCAGCGACGCCGCGUGAGGGAUGAAGGUCUUCGGAUCGUAAACCUCUGUCAGCAGGGAAGAACGGUCACUGUGCUAAUCAGCAGUGAAUUGACGGUACCUGCAAAGGAAGCACCGGCUAACUCCGUGCCAGCAGCCGCGGGAAUACGGAGGGUGCGAGCGUUAAUCGGAAUUACUGGGCGUAAAGCGCACGUAGGCGGUAUGUCAAGUCAAGGGUGAAAUCCCCGCGCUCAACGGGGGAACUGCCUUGUAAACUGGCAAACUGGAGUGUGUGAGAGGAUAGUGGAAUUCCAGGUGUAGGGGUGAAAUCCGUAGAUAUCUGGAAGAACAUCAGUGGCGAAGGCGACUAUCUGGAACGUAACUGACGCUGAGGAGCGAAAGCGUGGGUAGCAAACAGGAUUAGAUACCCCUGUAGUC
rnacentral:rRNA from 1 species